UCGUAACAAGGUUUCCGUAGGUGAACCUGCGGAAGGAUCAUUACCGAGUGAGGGCCCUCUGGGUCCAACCUCCCACCCGUGUUUAUUUUACCUUGUUGCUUCGGCGGGCCCGCCUUAACUGGCCGCCGGGGGGCUCACGCCCCCGGGCCCGCGCCCGCCGAAGACACCCUCGAACUCUGUCUGAAGAUUGAAGUCUGAGUGAAAAUAUAAAUUAUUUAAAACUUUCAACAACGGAUCUCUUGGUUCCGGCAUCGAUGAAGAACGCAGCGAAAUGCGAUACGUAAUGUGAAUUGCAAAUUCAGUGAAUCAUCGAGUCUUUGAACGCACAUUGCGCCCCCUGGUAUUCCGGGGGGCAUGCCUGUCCGAGCGUCAUUGCUGCCCUCAAGCCCGGCUUGUGUGUUGGGCCCCGUCCUCCGAUUUCCGGGGGACGGGCCCGAAAGGCAGCGGCGGCACCGCGUCCGGUCCUCGAGCGUAUGGGGCUUUGUCACCCGCUCUGUAGGCCCGGCCGGCGCUUGCCGAUCAACCCAAAUUUUUUAUCCAGGUUGACCUCGGAUCAGGUAGGGAUACCCGCUGAACUUAAGCAUAUCAAUAA
rnacentral:misc_RNA from 1 species